rnacentral:rRNA from 1 species
AUGAAAGUUUCGGCUCUAUAACCCUUUGUGACAUACCUAUAACUGUUGCUUCGGCGGGUAGGGUCUCCGCGACCCUCCCGGCCUCCCGCCUCCGGGCGGGUCGGCGCCCGCCGGAGGAUAACCAAACUCUGAUUUAACGACGUUUCUUCUGAGUGGUACAAGCAAAUAAUCAAAACUUUUAACAACGGAUCUCUUGGUUCUGGCAUCGAUGAAGAACGCAGCGAAAUGCGAUAAGUAAUGUGAAUUGCAGAAUUCAGUGAAUCAUCGAAUCUUUGAACGCACAUUGCGCCCGCCAGCAUUCUGGCGGGCAUGCCUGUUCGAGCGUCAUUUCAACCCUCAAGCUCUGCUUGGUGUUGGGGCCCUACAGCUGAUGUAGGCCCUCAAAGGUAGUGGCGGACCCUCCCGGAGCCUCCUUUGCGUAGUAACUUUACGUCUCGCACUGGGAUCCGGAGGGACUCUUGCCGUAAAACCCCCCAAUUUUCCAAAGGUUGACCUCGGAUCAGGUAGGAAUACCCGCUGAACUUAAGCAUAUCAAUAAGCGGAGGAACCAAAGGUGACCUCGGAUCAGGUAGAAGGGCACCAGU